GGGCGCGGCCGGCGGACGGGAAGGCGCGAGGCUCUUCGCGCUGCACCUGUCGGCGGGCGCCGCUCGGCCUGUGUGUGACAGGAAAGAGCCCUGAAGGCCGCGGAGGAGCUCCCGAGAAAACAUUUAGUUCUCCAAGUCACUGCUCCAACCACUGAAAUCUGGACCUUUGGGAGAGUGAUUUCAAACAUUAGAAAGCUGGAUCCCAUCCCAUGAUUUAAUGUUUAAAACAAGAUGCUUCGGAGUUGGGCAUGGAGACUGAGGCAGGAGGAUCAUCACGGGCCAGACUGGUCUCCAGAGUGAGUUCCAGGAUAAUCUGGGCACAGAGUAAGAUUUUGACUCAAAAAAUAUAGAUAAUAAUAGUCAAAUAAGUCAGUCUCUGGGAUCUUAUCUCCUUGGGGUGGUAGGCAUGGAACUCAUAGCUUCCACACAGGCUAGGCUCAAGCCCUUUGCCACUGACCCACAGCCCAAGCUCCUCGUUUGUUUCUGCUUUUUUAAAUGAAAAGAUCCUUUACCAAUUGUGACUUUUAUAAAAAUGUCCAAACUGUAGUCAUCUCUCUAUCUAAAUUAAAUCAAGGGAAAAGAUAUUUAUUCCUAAGAGCAUAUAUCUUUAUAAGACACUUCUAAGGUAGGGCCAAAACUUAAUUUCCAAGACUUGGUGGAGAAUGCUGUACUGGACAAGCACUGUCCCAUAGACAUCACAACAUCACACUUUGAGCCACUGGGUAGAAUUAAAACAAGUGAAGUAGCCAGGUGGUGGUGGCGGAUGUGGCGGCACACACCUUUAAUCCCAGCAGGCAGAGGCAGGCAGAUCUCUGUGAGUUCAGGCCAGCCUGGUCUAAACAGCGAGUUCCAGGAUGACCAGGGCUAUACAGAGAAACCAUUCUCAGGGGGAAAGAAAAAAGAAAAAGAGGAAAUUCAUGACUUGCCUAAGACCUACAUACAGCUAAUAACUGGCAGAACUGGAGUAGGGACCCAAUCGAUUCUUUUUUUCUCCUUGAGAACUUCACAACAGCUCCCUUCUUCAAAAUUCUGCCAUUUUAUUUUAUUCUACUCCAACUGCAUAUCAGCUACUCAAAAUGUUUUCAUUUUUAAGAUACCCAAAAGGCCUCCUUGUGUCAAAGCAAAAUUGAUUUAUAACCAUCUAAGGCUGUCUAUGAGCUAUUUUGGCCUUGAACUCAAGAGACCCGCCUGCCUCUGCCUUCCUAGUACUGGGAUGAAAGGUGUGCACCACCGAUGCUCGUCUGACUGGUUUUUUCUUACCCUUUAACAUAAAAUUCUCCAGUCUAACCUGUUUACUGUUUGGCCCUUACAGCUUGCUCAUUUGCCUUCUACCAUUGCUCAUGAAUUAGUGCUGGAAUGGUCUCCUCAUCCUUUUUAGUCAAACUCCUGCCCCUCCCUUCCUUACCUUGCCGGGAACAGUCCUCUCUAACCGAACCCAGCCCUUUCCCAGCCCUUUCCCCUUAGCUCUGGUACUAACUCUGCUGACUUAUUUGUACUGCUUGUGUUUUACAGUUGCGUAUUUAGGGUUUUGGUUUGGUUUGGUUUUUAAGAGAAAUACUAGCAAGAGUUGGCCUUUUUUUUUUCCCCUGAGACAGCGUUUCACCCUAUAGCCCAUGCUGGCCUCAGACUCAAUAUAUAGCCCAGGCUGGCAUGAAACUAUCAGCAAUUUUUCUGCCUCAGCCUCCCCCAAAAGGUUAUAGGCAUGCACAUGCACCCCCACCAGUUUGUUUUCUUAUUUUAUUUUCCUUUUCUCCUCUUUUCUCUCUUUUCUCCCCUCCCGGCCCCCUGCCUCACUAUGUGGUCCUGACUAGCAUGGAAUUAACCAAAUAGUGCAGGCUGACUCCUAACUCACAAAGAUCUGC
rnacentral:lncRNA from 1 species